AAAAAUGCAAUUUGGUCUCAUAUCAUAUGCAGAAGGAUAUUGUAUUAUUUGUUCUCUGAGAAGAACGGUGCUGGCAUUGUUCCCCCAGAUGAAACCCACUGGAAAGUAAGUGCAUAAUGAAGAGAAAGCAGAGGGCUUGGAAAAUUAAACCCAAGGAGGGGAAGAAUGGGCAAGGAUCAGUAAGUUCCAGAGCUGCUGCCUCUAUGCGUCGUACACAAGCAAACUACCUCCAGGAACCCUGCAUGGAGUUACUUUGAAGUUUGCCCUAAAUGUAGGAUCCUCUGCCAGUUCUGCACUUGUACCAGGCACGGAAGCCCCACACGCCAGCACAGCAAAAGCCUACGAAAGAAUCAAAUAAAGAAUAGUGGAGAAUGUCUUACACAGCUCUUUGUCACAUACAAGAGAGCCAGAGAAGAGAAUUUUGCUGAGAGAAAAGGAGAAAAAAUGUGACAGCUUAAUAGACGUGCUGUUAAAGUUAAUGGGAAAAAUCCAAAUGGCUUUAAUCAGUGUUGUGUGGGGCUCCAAUCUUUUAUUACGGAGAGUUUCGGUUUUAAGAGCUGUAUCCUUGCUUGAUGUCAAUUGGCAUAACUCCAUCUGGAGCUCCACCAGCCUACCCUUUUGAAUGUCUUGCCCAUGUGAGUUGCUAGCUUUAUUUCAACAUUGAAUGAACUGGUUAAAGAAGGAAAUCACUAUAUAAAAUGCUCAGAGAGGCCAUGAGGUUGAAUCUGGCUCUGUUGCAGGUAUAGAAACUCCAUAACAGCAUUGUAAAAAGGUCUAUUCAUGUUUAAAUGUGCUGGCAGGAAAAAAAGAGGCCGUGGCAUGGUAAAUAAAAACUAUUUUGGAUAUUUACAGAACCCCAAUGAGGCCGACCUAGAGAAGUUUACAUUUUCAGACAUAAAGAUGCUAUUUUUCAAUUUACAUAAUUACUAUAACAAAAGGUAUAUGAUUCCACAAUGACAGAGAGGACUUCUUUGACAAAAUGAAGUUGCUAUUUUAUAUUAAUGCUGGAAAGCUAUCAGGGUGAAAUUUUGUGUAACAAGGGAUUUUUGUGCCGUUACAUUUGAAGAAGGCUCUGUGGUCUUUCUUUUUGGAAAGACCAACACCAAAGAUGUUGAGAUCAACAGUGAUGAGGUCUGUAUCAAUACACUGCUAAAUUAAGUAACAAAUCUGGCCAUUAGACCAGGAAAACCACUGGGAAGACCUGCUCCAUGGAAAACGUCCCCAUAGGACCUCAUUCAGGUGGGCCAGGUUGGUCUACUUGAAGAUGUGUCUCCAGGUUUUGUUGCCUUUGUUUUUGAAAAAAAAAAAAAAAAACCAGCAAAGAUGUACAUGAGAAAAUAUUUAGUAAAUCAGCAAUAUUUACAGACAUGCUUACUCUUAUCUCAAGGCACUACUCAUGGUAGCAAAGGGAAGCAUAUAUACAAUCUUUUGUAGGUUUCGGCUCUCAGCUAUGUCCUUCUUCUGUCAAGGACUAGGUUUUACUAUGUGUGUAGAGUCAUCCUGCCACGAUGAGCUUCAUCAAAUCCUUAUCAAAAGUUUUAGAGCAAGCAGAAAUAAGCGAGCAUGCUUUUCUACCUGUUAGGACCUGUAAGACCGCGUACUCACAGCAACACUGAACUAGUUCAACUUCUGAGCACAUUUAACAGGCUGUACAAAGGGAAAAAAAAAAAAGGAGAACUCUUUUCCCUAACACUGAGAAAUAACCAGAAAUGGAGAGGUCUGACAUGAAUCUAAAGUUUCCUGACAUCUUCCUUCCUGCUAUCCAGACUGUCAGUGGAAUAACAAAUACUUUGGUAUGUUAAACUAGGGUAGUAAGUUUUUUAUA